CCGUGAUAUUCGAUAUUUCCUUCUUCACUCCGGUAGAGAGAGGGAGCGCGUGAAGAAAGUGGUGCUGUCUGUCAGCAUCUAAAACUCCGAUUCCACCUUCCCUGCUACGCCGUUCCUUUUGUCCUCCAUGUUCUCAGCUGUGUUCCUCUGAUUAGUUGCUGGCUGAGAAUUGCACAACCUCUGUUUUACCCGCAUCGGAGGACUCUUGGCAGCAUCAGCUCCUCCGGUGCAACCGAUUUGCGAAGGAGGCGAGAGUAAAAAGAAAGAGAGAGAAGAGAAGAGAACAGGAAAUGAGAGAAAGAAGAAAAAGAAGGAGACGAAAAGCUCUCUGGGUUUUCUUUGAUCGUUACUGUAUUUGUCUUCGGCUGGCCAAUGGAAGAUUCGUCUUCAGCUGACCAAGCCUGUUACUUAGACUCAAUUGGUAUGGGGAGUUUGCGGAGCUGCUGCCUCUGAUUUACAGGUGGGGAGUAACAUCCUUCCAAUUCUGAACGUCCUCCAUGUACAUACUGAAACGAAAAGAUUUUGCCUUUUUUCCCUUUGGAGAAGAGCAUGACAGGGGAGAGCUUGGAGAUUUAUAAUGGGUAUUUUUCAGCCUUUCGCCUCCUUUCAUAUGAAAACAGUCACAAUAACCUUUUGCUUAUUUUAUGUUUAAAUUACUCACCC